rnacentral:misc_RNA from 1 species
GUAGGUGAGUAACAUGGAUUUUAUUUUCCCAUCAUUAUUUUAUCUUGUAACCCUUUGCUAACAUGUGAUUUUAGGUGAACCUGCGGAAGGAUCAUUACCCUGAAUAAUUUCAGUCGGGGGUUGGUUUGGUUUUGUGUUUCGGCGCUCUAUCAGCCAGCUCUGUCUGCAUAUACCCUGUUUUUCGCGUACCUUUGUUUCCUUGGCAGGCGGACGCGCCUGUCAGUAGGACCCCUUUCAACCCUUGUAAUAGCAGUCAGCGUCAGAAAAAAACAAUAGUUACAACUUUCAACAACGGAUCUCUUGGUUCUG